UUUGUUUAGAUUCAAGGUGCGGUCAUGAGGGCCUCCUGCCUGGAUUCGAAAGCUAUUGAGAAUGCCUCCGUAGCCUAAUCCAGCAGUCUCAUAAAUACGUCACCAUCCUGUCCAGUGUUUCCACCGAUAACAUCAUUUUUCUUCAUGGACCGACCAGCCCCCACCACCACCUCAACCUCCACCUCCACCUCCACCUCCACUCCCCCCAUAAUUAAGCAACCUACGGAACCACCACCAUCUCAACCACAACCGCAACCACAACCACAACCAUCCUCCUCCACGGCCUCUCCAAACCCUAAUCUUAACCCCAACCCACCCCCAAAACCUUCAAUAUCAGCAGCAACAACAAUCACCACCACCCCCAGCAUCACAAGGCCUCAGACAGUGCAUAGGCCAUGGCAGCACCCCCACCCCCACUCCCAACUCCCGUCUGUUUCUUCGGGCCCUCCUAUACCAUCCUCCUCCUCCACGACCCCUUCUAUUUCUUCGCCACGCGGUGUUGCCCUAGGUGUUCCCGCGCCUUCUCCCGCGUCCUUUUCUUCUUCAUUUGGUCACCAGUUUGUUGGAUUGAACCGCGCUCCGGUUAACGUGCCUGAAUCCGUAGCCAACACCAACAACUCGCAGGUGAGGCAAGGGGUGAUGGCUUCAAUGGCGUCGAAUUCUCAAAUGCGACCACAUCAACAGAGACCUGUUCAAUCAUCUCUUCGACCAGCCACCUCUUCCUCAAAUACCCAAAAUUUCUCAGGGCAUGUAUUUAUAAGAUCCACACCAGCAGGUGCAGCAGGUUCUCCAGUGCCAAAUGCAUCGCAAAGCACAUCGCAAAGUUUGCAGUCCUCCAGUCAGCUGUGGUUGUCAUCUGCAUCUCAAGGGAAGCCUCCAUUGCCUUCCCCUUCAUAUAGACCUCAGAUGAACUCUCCGUCACUGCAACAAAGGUCACACAUUCCACCACAGCAUCAUUCCCCACCGACAACUUCGCAGCAACAGCACAUGUCACCUGCACAACCUCAACAACUUUUACAAUCCCAUCAACAACCAGAGCAUUAUGGCCAGCAAUUUCCACCAUCAAGAGUCCAACAGUCCUUAUCCCCUCUGCAACAAGUUUCAAGGGUUCAAGGUUCAGUAAAUCAUAAGCCAUCUUCCCUAGCAAUGUCACAUCCUAACACAGUACAACCAUUGCCGCAGAAUAGUAUAGCUAAUGCAGAAAGUGAUGAAUCUGGUAACCGGAUUCUUAGCAAAAGAAGCAUUCAUGAGCUAGUUAGUCAGAUUGAUCCAUCAGAGAAGUUCAAUCCUGAAGUUGUAGAGAUUCUAGCAGAUAUAGCAGAUGAAUUUCUUGUGUCUGUCACAACAUUUGGUUGCUCAUUGGCCAAGCAUCGAAAAUCAGAUACAUUGGAAGCAAAAGACAUACUUCUACAUCUUGACAGAAACUGGAAUAUGACACUGCCAGGGUUCUGUGGCGAUGAGAUUAAGAGCUACAGAAAACAAAUAACAAAUGAUAUCCACAAGGAGCGCCUUGCGGCGAUAAAGAAGUCAAUAUUGGCAUCUGAGAUGGCAAAUGCUAAGAACACCGUGGGACAAGCUGCUGGAAAUGCGAAGAGUAGCACGACAAAGACCUUGUCAAAUCCCAUUGUCUCCCCUAACCUGAAAGUUACAUGAGGUGUUUAUUGUACUAGCUUUGGCAGCUAAAGUGGUUCUGUGAUUUGAGAAGAUGACAGGUCUAGUUAUGGGAAAGAUGGAUGACAAUCACCAAAAUCAUCCCUCCCUUUAUUCAAACAAUGCAUGUGGAAUCCAUUCACAGAUGGACAUGAAUAGGGACACCACAAGUCCAAGAAAAUAAAAAAUUACCCAGAUUGACGACUCAGACAACUGAUUCCAAGUUAUUGUGGAAGUGGAAGUUGUAUUGCAUCCGAUAACACAGUGUAGAGUUUGUGGUAUGGAGGUGCUUGCGCAGCUAAUGCUAACCAGGUUUCUUUCCAUUAUCGUUUUGUGCAGUACAUUAGGUAACAAAGAAUCAAAAGCUGUUCCUUUCUUUUGUCCGUUGGAAUUGUAGGAAGACAAUUGAAGUGGUUUCAUGAUUCCAAGUUUGGGAAGCGUAAACGCUAUUGCUCCUACAAAUAAUUGUGUUAAUGGACUUGUAUAAAAAGCUUUGAGCUGAAUUCUGUAAAAGACAUAUGAUUGAACCUAAACUUGCAUGCAUGGAAGUAUGUUUUAGGCUGAAUCAUGUCCAGGGUACUGCUUCCCUCCAAAUUCAUGCUCCUCCAUUUUCCUU